rnacentral:rRNA from 1 species
UGCCAGCCGCCGCGGUAAUACGUAGGUGGCAAGCGUUAUCCGGAUUUACUGGGUGUAAAGGGCGAGUAGGCGGGAUUACAGGUCAGGUGUGAAAUCUGGGGGCUCAACCCCCAAACUGCACUUGAAACUGUAGUUCUUGAGUGAUGGAGAGGCAGGCGGAAUUCCCAGUGUAGCGGUGAAAUGCGUAGAUAUUGGGAGGAACACCAGUGGCGAAGGCGGCCUGCUGGACAUUUACUGACGCUGAGGAGCGAAAGCGUGGGGAGCAAACAGGAUUAGAUA